AGAAAAUGUACCCUGGCAGCAAAUGGGUGAAAAGGCUGGAGGAGAAAGUCAUCGCUCCGUUAUUGGCACUUGGACUCCCCUGGCAUCGCAUGUACAGCAUGAAGUUUUCAGCAAUGAAGUUUUCCAGAACGAGAACCAAGCCCUGAGGGAGGAGAACCAAGCC